rnacentral:rRNA from 1 species
UACGUAGGGUGCGAGCGUUAAUCGGAAUUACUGGGCGUAAAGUGUGCGCAGGCGGCUUCGCAAGUCGAGUGUGAAAUCCCCGAGCUUAACUUGGGAAUUGCGCUCGAAACUACGGAGCUGGAGUGUGGCAGAGGAAGGUGGAAUUCCACGUGUAGCGGUGAAAUGCGUAGAGAUGUGGAGGAACACCGGUGGCGAAGGCGGCAUCCUGGACCAAUUCUGACGCUGAUGAGCGAAAGCCAGGGGAGCAAACGGG